rnacentral:lncRNA from 11 species
UUUGGCAGAUGCUAAUAUUAUGGAGUUGUUCUAAAGGUGGCUGAUUUAAACAAGAAAGUUUGAAUGUGUGCCUGGUGCAUUUCACAUUACCUUAGCAAUCAUUCACAGUGAGGAAGUGAAGUAGUAGCCAGACAGCAGGACCUUGAAGCUGUCACAAAGCUCUCUGGAUGCUGGUCAGAAGAUUUUUCCACCAAAGAACUUUACAAGAUGGUUGUGAGGAUAAAAUGAGGUGAAGGAGUGUUUCAGCUAGGGAGAGGAAUGGACUAAAGAAAACAUUUGAAGGCAAGUAGCAUCCUUGUCAGGCAUACCUGAACUGGUGGUGUGCAUUGGGCAGCCCUCCUUCAAUUAGACAACUGGGAAAAAAGAAGCAAGUGCUUCACCACAAUUUCUGCUUAGCAGUGGGAAGCAGAUUCAUCAGAAGUGCUGGCUGUGGGAGCCCCCACAAUUGCUGCAGUCAUACCACAGAAAGCAUUGAAUGAAGCAAGCUGAAAUUGUCACGUCCUUUUCUUCAGAGAGCUUACAGCCAGCCUGGGCAGUGAUGUCAAGUCUGCAUGGGCCCUCCUGCUUUUCCUCAACUGUUCUCUUCAGUCUAUGCCAUUGCCUAUCCAAAAUGUUCCCUCUCACAAAGAGGAGGGGAGGGAAGAAAAAAGAGGAGAAUCACGUCCAUUAAAGCCAUAUGACUGCCAGUAUCAAAAGGGACCCAUCACAUCAGAGGUUCUCACUGGCUUUGUCUCUCUGUGCAGGCUAAUUUUUGCAUUAUGUCUCUUCAGAAAGACUAGUGGGAAUACUCUGGAAUGGAAGACAUUUUACAUUUUAUCCAGCACUCAUUUUGCUAACGGAAGGAACCUUAGAGAACGCCCCAUGUAACUAUGUGUACAAACCAGCUCCUUGACUGAAGUGAAUUAACCUUCUCUCGCUGCUUUUCCCCUUUCAUCUUUCUGAUAACCCACCAAUUUGAAAUACAGGUUGACCAUCCCUUAUUUCAGAAUUCUGAAAUCCCAAAUACUCCAAAAUCCAAAAUUGUCUACAUGAGUAACUGAGAUAAUGACACCAUUGUUUUGUGAUGAUUCAGUGUACACACACUUUGUUUCAAGCACAACAUUAUUAAAAAUAUUGUAUAAAAUUAUCUUCAGGUUAUGUGCAUAAGGUAUAUAUGAAACAUACAUGAAUUUUGUGCAUAGAUUUG